GCCCCUGUAGCUCAGCGGUAGAGCGUGUGGCUGUUAACCACAAGGUCGCAGGUUCGAAUCCUGCCGGGGGCG
rnacentral:tRNA from 4 species